AGUAUAAUGUAGGGGACUACCUACUAAUAGUGAACAGGAUCCCCAGCUCCUGAUGGUUGACAACUGCAAGGAAGAUGGGGUCUCUCAGAAACUACUUAUAAGAACCAGCCAACAUCUGCUCUGUUUGAGACGAGCAUGUCAAACAAUGAGAAAUGCAGAGGGAAACAGAGAGAUGAUCAUGAAUCCUCUGUUCAUCAGAUGUAUUAGACUCCUUGGGACACCUGAUCAGGGUCUUAAUCACUGCAUCUGUAAAAAUGAGGUAAGAUGUGGGAAACUAAAAACUUUUUACCAAAGAAGUAUAGUUUUUUUUUUUUCCUCUUCCCUUUAAAGUAUCAGGAAUUUCCAAGCUAUCAACAUUUGCUGAAUCUGCCUAUGCAUAGUUUUCAAAAAUAGUCUAUGUUUAAUUUAUUUCCAAAAUACUUUCCAUUUCAGCAGGUUUCCAUGAAGUGAAACAUUUACUAUAAAUGGAUAAAUUUUGUCAGGGAGCUGCUUCAACAGUGUCCUAAAUGAAUAGUCAGAGUAAAAGCAUAGCACAGAUAUAGUCAAAAAGAAGUAACCCUCUUUUUUUAGAAAAAAAAAGUGCUAAAUUUUAAAGCACAGUUUUAUUCUGCAACUUGGACAGUAUCCCAGGUAUCUUGUUUAGAGUAUGUGAGUGCUGCAGAGAAGUCAGAGAGAAAAGAUAGAAGCUGGAGUAGAAUCAGCUGGAUUGGACCCAAGUAGACUAGGCCUACUGUAAAAGUAAGACCACUACGGCUGGAGGAGUUCACCAAGAAACUGACACACAGACUGGGAGUCAUGUUGCUGCCAAGGUGGGACCAAUACUGAUGAAAGGUGCCCAGAGCUAGAAAGAGGAGGGGAGAAUCAGAGACUCGCAGACUCAGAUUCAAAUAUGAGAUCACAAGAUGAAGCAGAAGCCAACUCAAGCAAGAAGUAACAGGAAGAGGGUGAUAAGUAACAGCUAGAACAUGUACAUGAGUCAAGACAUGUGUGUUUGCCUGAUUCAUGAAGCCAGGAAAGGGAUAAAAAUUCAGGCAGCAAGUGGUGUGGCAUUUUAUUUUGAUUUGAAUGUAAGUAGUCAUCAAAAUUAAUGAAUAAAAAUAGUUAUCAGUUUGUAUGUAUAGACAUUUAAGAAUAUUUCGUACUCCAUUUGCAGCUAUAAAAAUGAAUAAAAAAGAUUUCUAUUAACUGAUAU
rnacentral:lncRNA from 10 species